GAUUAAGUUAUUAAGGGCGCACGGUGGAUGCCUUGGCACUAGAAGCCGAUGAAGGACGUUACUAACGACGAUAUGCUUUGGGGAGCUGUAAGUAAGCUUUGAUCCAGAGAUUUCCGAAUGGGGAAACCCAGCAUGAGUUAUGUCAUGUUAUCGAUAUGUGAAUACAUAGCAUAUCAGAAGGCACACCCGGAGAACUGAAACAUCUUAGUACCCGGAGGAAGAGAAAGAAAAUUCGAUUCCCUUAGUAGCGGCGAGCGAAACGGGAAGAGCCCAAACCAACAAGCUUGCUUGUUGGGGUUGUAGGACACUCUGUACGGAGUUACAAAGGACGACAUUAGACGAAUCAUCUGGAAAGAUGAAUCAAAGAAGGUAAUAAUCCUGUAGUCGAAAAUGUUGUCUCUCUUGAGUGGAUCCUGAGUACGACGGAGCACGUGAAAUUCCGUCGGAAUCUGGGAGGACCAUCUCCUAAGGCUAAAUACUCUCUAGUGACCGAUAGUGAACCAGUACCGUGAGGGAAAGGUGAAAAGCACCCCGGAAGGGGAGUGAAAUAGAACCUGAAACCGUGUGCUUACAAGUAGUCAGAGCCCGUUAAUGGGUGAUGGCGUGCCUUUUGUAGAAUGAACCGGCGAGUUACGAUUUGAUGCAAGGUUAAGCAGUAAAUGUGGAGCCGUAGCGAAAGCGAGUCUGAAUAGGGCGUUUAGUAUUUGGUCGUAGACCCGAAACCAGGUGAUCUACCCUUGGUCAGGUUGAAGUUCAGGUAACACUGAAUGGAGGACCGAACCGACUUACGUUGAAAAGUGAGCGGAUGAACUGAGGGUAGCGGAGAAAUUCCAAUCGAACCUGGAGAUAGCUGGUUCUCUCCGAAAUAGCUUUAGGGCUAGCCUCAAGUGAUGAUUAUUGGAGGUAGAGCACUGUUUGGACGAGGGGCCCCUCUCGGGUUACCGAAUUCAGACAAACUCCGAAUGCCAAUUAAUUUAACUUGGGAGUCAGAACAUGGGUGAUAAGGUCCGUGUUCGAAAGGGAAACAGCCCAGACCACCAGCUAAGGUCCCAAAAUAUAUGUUAAGUGGAAAAGGAUGUGGCGUUGCCCAGACAACUAGGAUGUUGGCUUAGAAGCAGCCAUCAUUUAAAGAGUGCGUAAUAGCUCACUAGUCGAGUGACACUGCGCCGAAAAUGUACCGGGGCUAAACAUAUUACCGAAGCUGUGGAUUGUCCUUUGGACAAUGGUAGGAGAGCGUUCUAAGGGCGUUGAAGCAUGAUCGUAAGGACAUGUGGAGCGCUUAGAAGUGAGAAUGCCGGUGUGAGUAGCGAAAGACGGGUGAGAAUCCCGUCCACCGAUUGACUAAGGUUUCCAGAGGAAGGCUCGUCCGCUCUGGGUUAGUCGGGUCCUAAGCUGAGGCCGACAGGCGUAGGCGAUGGAUAACAGGUUGAUAUUCCUGUACCACCUAUAAUCGUUUUAAUCGAUGGGGGGACGCAGUAGGAUAGGCGAAGCGUGCGAUUGGAUUGCACGUCUAAGCAGUAAGGCUGAGUAUUAGGCAAAUCCGGUACUCGUUAAGGCUGAGCUGUGAUGGGGAGAAGACAUUGUGUCUUCGAGUCGUUGAUUUCACACUGCCGAGAAAAGCCUCUAGAUAGAAAAUAGGUGCCCGUACCGCAAACCGACACAGGUAGUCAAGAUGAGAAUUCUAAGGUGAGCGAGCGAACUCUCGUUAAGGAACUCGGCAAAAUGACCCCGUAACUUCGGGAGAAGGGGUGCUCUUUAGGGUUAACGCCCAGAAGAGCCGCAGUGAAUAGGCCCAAGCGACUGUUUAUCAAAAACACAGGUCUCUGCUAAACCGUAAGGUGAUGUAUAGGGGCUGACGCCUGCCCGGUGCUGGAAGGUUAAGAGGAGUGGUUAGCUUCUGCGAAGCUACGAAUCGAAGCCCCAGUAAACGGCGGCCGUAACUAUAACGGUCCUAAGGUAGCGAAAUUCCUUGUCGGGUAAGUUCCGACCCGCACGAAAGGCGUAACGAUUUGGGCACUGUCUCAACGAGAGACUCGGUGAAAUCAUAGUACCUGUGAAGAUGCAGGUUACCCGCGACAGGACGGAAAGACCCCGUGGAGCUUUACUGUAGCCUGAUAUUGAAAUUCGGCACAGCUUGUACAGGAUAGGUAGGAGCCUUUGAAACGUGAGCGCUAGCUUACGUGGAGGCGCUGGUGGGAUACUACCCUAGCUGUGUUGGCUUUCUAACCCGCACCACUUAUCGUGGUGGGAGACAGUGUCAGGCGGGCAGUUUGACUGGGGCGGUCGCCUCCUAAAAGGUAACGGAGGCGCUCAAAGGUUCCCUCAGAAUGGUUGGAAAUCAUUCAUAGAGUGUAAAGGCAUAA
rnacentral:rRNA from 1 species